AUUGAACGCUGGCGGCAGGCUUAACACAUGCAAGUCGAGCGGAGAUGAGGUGCUUGCACCUUAUCUUAGCGGCGGACGGGUGAGUAAUGCUUAGGAAUCUGCCUAUUAGUGGGGGACAACAUUCCGAAAGGAAUGCUAAUACCGCAUACGCCCUAUGGGGGAAAGCAGGGGAUCUUCGGACCUUGCGCUAAUAGAUGAGCCUAAGUCGGAUUAGCUAGUUGGUGUGGUAAAGGCCUACCAAGGCGACGAUCUGUAGCGGGUCUGAGAGGAUGAUCCGCCACACUGGGACUGGGACACGGCCCAGACUCCUACGGGAGGCAGCAGUGGGGAAUAUUGGACAAUGGGCGGAAGCCUGAUCCAGCCAUGCCGCGUGUGUGAAGAAGGCCUUUUGGUUGUAAAGCACUUUAAGCGAGGAGGAGGCUACUUAGAUUAAUACUCUAGGAUAGUGGACGUUACUCGCAGAAUAAGCACCGGCUAACUCUGUGCCAGCAGCCGCGGUAAAAC
rnacentral:rRNA from 1 species